UACGUAGGGGUCGAGCGUUGUCCGGAGUUACUGGGCGUAAAGCGCAUGCAGGCGGCUCAUUACGCGUGGCGUGAAAGCCCCCGGCUCAACCGGGGAGGGUCGUCGUGAACGGGUGAGCUUGAGGGUAUCAGGGGCUGGUGGAAUUCCCGGUGUAGUGGUGAAAUGCGUAGAGAUCGGGAGGAACACCUGUGGCGAAGGCGGCCAGCUGGGAUACACCUGACGCUGAGAUGCGAAGGCGUGGGGAGCGAACGGGAUUAGAUACCCCGGUAGUCCCUGA
rnacentral:rRNA from 1 species